UCUGCGUCUCGUCGGGUUUCUUUUGCUUUUGUUCCCUUCUCUUCUCGUAGAGGGAAGUUCAUGGCUCACUCACUGGCCCAGGCCAAUCUCGGCCUCACGAAUCCUUCUCCUAAUGAAGCCCCCCAGAUAUCUUUUGGGGCAAAAGACAUUGAUGUCUUGGAAUGGAAAGGAGAUUUGCUUGCAGUGGGUGUGACAGAGAAAGAUGUGGCCAAGGAUGAAAAUUCCAAGUUUAAG
rnacentral:misc_RNA from 1 species